rnacentral:lncRNA from 1 species
GGUCCUUGUUUUGUUUCAGGCAAGAAAAAGAUGAAAAUCUGCAUCUUCAUAACAAGCUAUCUCAAAUCCAGCCUUGUUUUACAGCAAGCAGAUUUAACUGAGUCUGCUGGGAUCUGUGCUGAAGGAGAUUUUGGCAGUUUUAUUAUCAUCCCGUAAGAAAAAGCUUUUGUCUAUAAAGCAUUAUCUUAAUUAUCUUAAAGAUCAGCUGCUGGCACAGAGAAAGAUCAGACAAAAUUUUUUUUGAGGAAUCCACUAGCUGUAGUGGCAGGGCAGCCUGGGGACAGUGUUUAUGUCAGCAAAGGUAAAAUGCUAUAAUAGAGGUAAAAUAAAGGUAAAAAUAAAGGUAAAAUGCUAACUGCAUUCAGUUUGCAGGGGUGUUUGAAGAGCAGAAAUGCUAAAAUGGCCAGAAAGAAGCAGUCAUACUCCUGGGCUUCAAGGAGUUGGAAGUACCAUCUCUGGGAAACUGAAGUAAAAGAAGGGGAAUUUUUUUUUUUUUUUUUUUUUUUUUUUUUUUUUUUUUUUUUCAGAAAGCAACUGUAGUCAAGGAGUCUGGGCUCAUAGCUCCCAAAGACAAGGCACUGGAAGGUACAUAACACAAAGAAAGAUACGUAAAUGUUGAUAGCAGGUGGAGUAACAGGGAACAGCCUGUUUUCUUGUUGAACGCUCUUUUGCUUGCUUUAGUCACGUGUAUGUGAUACUACACAGUGGGUCGAGAAGGUGGAAUUUGGUUCAUAGUCUGUUCACUGCUGUAUCAGAAAUGUGACCUUGGGUAUCUGCCACUUUUCUGUGUUUGUAUUAUUUUUCAGGUGCCUGAUCAUCUGGGUCCAGGUCACUGCCUAUAGACUGAGGCAGCAGGAAGCCCUCUCUUUUUUCAGAAGAGUCCAAGAGCACCAUCUCCUAGUAGCAAGCUUUGCUGAGUGGAGAAUGAAAUUCUUGACAGCUAAACAGCAGGUGCUGAGAGAGGAGAGAGACCACGAGUGGCAGGGACGUUCUCAGGCUAAAGCCUGUCACCGUUGGCGAGUGGCCUCGAGGGGACGGCAAGCCUUCCGCCUAGGGUCUGUGGCUGCUGUGAAACAGGCCUGCAACUACUGGACAAAAACAGCUGCCUUUUCCCAGUGCUCACGGCAAUGCAGUACCCUGAUAGGUGCUAGGAAGAGCAGGAAGAUGUCUCUGUCUUGGUCCCUAAAAAGGAGAGGAUGCAGAGAAAAGGCUUCAGCACUUGCUUCCUCCUUUGGGCUUUUUCCCAGUGCUGUUCGCCGUUGGCUGGUGAUCUACAGAAACCAAAGGAGAGCUGAAAGGCUGCAGCUCCCUCAGCUGCUAGAAAGACAUGGCUUGGUAGGACCUGUUCCUGCACAUGCCAGGAUCCAGGAGAACAAAGCAGAGGUGGACUCUGAGGAGUGGGAUGAGAAGUGGCUUGGGAGGAAGUAUCUGAGGUGGUGGCAUCGCACAGUGAUGCUGCGCCGGUGCCAGCGUGGCAGGAGGCUGCACUGUCUGGCAAGGGGAUGGCAUCGAUGGAAAGAAGCCAGCAGGGUGGUGAUGCUGGCACAAGUAUUGGACCAGCAGCGGCUGAUAGAAAAGGCCUGGAGGGCAUGGAGACGCCGAUACUUACAAAGCUGUGUGGUGCAGAGCUUUUUGGAGGUAGAAGCCAGGAGCUUACUGUCCCAGGCCUUUGGAAGGUGGCGCCAGCUAACAGCAUUCCAGCUCAAGGACAAAGGACACUGCUGA